rnacentral:rRNA from 1 species
UGCAAGUCGAACGAGAAUCUCUAGCUUGCUAGAGAGGACAGUGGCGGACGGGUGAGUAAUGUGUAGAGAAUCUGCCCUUGAGCGGGGGACAACAGCUGGAAACGGUUGCUAAUACCCCAUAUGAGGUAAGUUGAAAUACUUAUCUUGAAAACUCCGGUGCUCAAGGAUGAGUCUGCAUCUGAUUAGCUAGUUGGGGGUGUAAUGGACCACCAAGGCGACGAUCAGUAGCUGGUUUGAGAGGAUGAUCAGCCACAAUGGGACUGAGACACGGCCCAUACUCCUACGGGAGGCAGCAGUAGGGAAUUUUGCGCAAUGGGGGAAACCCUGACGCAGCAACGCCGCGUGAACGAUUAAGCCCUUCGGGGUGUAAAGUUCUGUCAGCAGGGACGAAUAAUGACGGUACCUGCAGAGGAAGCACCGGCUAACUCCGUGCCAGCAGCCGCGGUAAUACGGAGGGUGCAAGCGUUGUCCGGAAUCAUUGGGCGUAAAGAGUUCGUAGGUGGCAUGUAAAGUCCGGUGUUAAAUGCAGAAGCUCAACUUCUGUUGGGCACUGGAUACUUGCAAGCUGGAAUGCGGUAGAGGUAAAGGGAAUUCCUGGUGUAGCGGUGAAAUGCGUAGAUAUCAGGAGGAACAUCGGUGGCGUAAGCGCUUUACUGGGCCGUAAUUGACACUGAGGAACGAAAGCCGGGGUAGCAAAUGGGAUUAGAUACCCCAGUAGUCCCGGCCGUAAACGAUGGAUACUAGGUGUUGCGGGUAUCGACCCCUGCAGUGCCGCAGCUAACGCGAUAAGUAUCCCGCCUGGGGAGUACGCACGCAAGUGUGAAACUCAAAGGAAUUGACGGGG